rnacentral:rRNA from 1 species
CCUACGGGUGGCUGCAGUGGGGAAUAUUGGACAAUGGGGGCAACCCUGAUCCAGCCAUGCCGCGUGUGUGAAGAAGGCCCUCGGGUUGUAAAGCACUUUCAGUGAGGAAGAACGCCUGGUGGUUAAUACCCAUCAGGAAAGACAUCACUCACAGAAGAAGCACCGGCUAACUCCGUGCCAGCAGCCGCGGUAAUACGGAGGGUGCGAGCGUUAAUCGGAAUUACUGGGCGUAAAGCGCGCGUAGGUGGCUUGAUAAGCCGGUUGUGAAAGCCCCGGGCUCAACCUGGGAACGGCAUCCGGAACUGUCAAGCUAGAGUGCAGGAGAGGAAGGUAGAAUUCCCGGUGUAGCGGUGAAAUGCGUAGAGAUCGGGAGGAAUACCAGUGGCGAAGGCGGCCUUCUGGACUGACACUGACACUGAGGUACGAAAGCGUGGGUAGCAAACAGGAUUAGAUACCCCUGUAGUC